ensembl:lncRNA
CAUAGGCCCCAUAGAACCCCAUAGGCCCCUAUAGAACCCCAUAGGCCCCUAUAGAGCCCCAUAGGCCCCUAUAGGCCGCAAUGGGCCUCACCUCGGCGAUGCGCUGCCGUAGCAGCUCCAUGUGCUCCCGUUGCCGCUCCCGUUUCUUCAUGAGCUGCAGCGCCCGCCCCGCUUCACUCGCCGCUCCCUUGUACUGCGCCAUCUUGGAUCCAGUACCGACACCGGAAACCGGAACCGGAAAUAACACACCCCCCUCUUAUAGCCUUAAGUGCGUCAUUUACGUGCGACGCGAUGGGAGUGGGAAGCGGAAGUGCGUCAUUAAAGUGAGACGCGACGAGGGGUCGGAAGCGGAAGUAGCUUCUGAAGCGGAAGUGCGUCAUUACUGAGACCCUUUCCCUAUAACGACAUCCCAUUGGAGGAGCUGUUGGUUUGGGCCCCGCCCACUUCCGGUGGCUUUAUCCAAUAGGAAGGAAGGAUUUGUCCCCGCCCCCUUUCCCGUGGCUUUAUCCAAUCAGAGUGAGUCCCUUUUUAUCCCCGCCCACUUCCGAUCUGAUUAUCCAAUCAGAGUGGCUCCUUUUGUCCCGCCCUUUUCCAGUGGCUUUAUCCAAUCAGAACGCAGCCUUUUAGCCCCGCCCCUCUUUUUGCCUUCAUCCAAUCGAAUCACAGCAUCCCAUUUAAGCCCCGCCCCUCCACCCAACGGGCUCCUCUGAUUGGACGAAUCGCCCUUUGGCUCCACCCACUUUUAGCCCCGCCUCCUCCCCCUUAAUGGCCUUCUCCGAUUGGUCGAUGUCCCGUCCCGUCCCCGUUAUUUGAUUGGAUCGUUUCCCUUUAGCCCCGCCCACUUGGGGCGGCUUUUAUUGGACACGGCACACAAUAAAUAGGGGGAGGGGCGAUAGGGGGCGCUAUAGGGCACACAUAGGGAUCUAUGGGGCACAUAUGGGGGUCUAUGGGGCACAUAUGGGGUCUAUGGGGCACAUAUGGGGUCUAUGGGGCACACAUAGGGAUCUAUGGGGCACAUAUGGAGUCUAUGGGGCACAUAUGGGGGUCUAUGGGGUAGAUAUGGGGCACAUAUGGGGCAGCUAUGGGGCACAUAUGGGGCACAUAUGGGGACAUAUGGGGGUCUAUGGGCACAUAUGGGAUCUAUGGGGCAGAUAUGGGGCACAUAUGGGGGUCUAUGGGGCACAUAUGGGGUCUAUGGGGCAGAUAUGGGGGUCUAUGGGGCAGAUGUGGGGCAGACCCAGCUGUGGGGGCACACAUAGGGUUUAUGGGCGCUAUGGGGCAGAUAUGGGGAUCUAUGGGGUAGAUAUGGGGCACAUAUGGGGCGCUAUGGGGCACGUAUGGGGCACGUAUGGGGGUCUAUGGGGCAGAUAUGGGUGUCUGUGGGGCAGACCCAGCUGUGGGGCACACAUAGGGGUCUAUGGGGCGAUAUGGGGGCGAUAUGGGGCAGAUAUGGGGGUCUAUGGGGCAGAUAUGGGGCAGAACCCAGCUGUCUAUGGGGCAGACUGGCUAUGGGGCAGCUAUUGGGGCACGUAUGGGGCAGAUAUGGGGGUCUAUGGGGCGCUAUGGGGCAGACCCAGCAAGUCUAUGGGGCAGCCCUAUGGGUCUGGCUAUGGGGCAGCCCCACAGAUCCCUCUAUGGGGCAGCCCUAUUGGUCCCGCUAUGGGGCAGCCCCACAGAUCCCCAUCUCUAGGUCCCGCUAUGGGCAGCCCCACAUCUCCCCCCAUUACUUCCCCUAUGGGUACAUGCAAUGUGGUCCCACUAUGGGUCCUGGCUAUGGGUCCUGCUAUGGUCUGGCUAUGGGGCAGCCCCACAGAUCCCCCUCUAUAGGUCCCGCUAUGGGUCUGGCUAUGGGCAGCCCCACAGAUCCCACUAUAGGUCCCACUAUGGGCAGCCCUAUGGGUCUGGCUAUGGGGCAGCCCCACAGAUCCCACUAUAGGUCCCACUAUGGGGCAGCCCUAUGGGUCUGGCUAUGGGGCAGCCCUAUGGGUCCUGCUAUGGGUCCAUCUAUGGGUCAGCCCCACAUCUCCCCCCAUUACUCCCCUAUGGGCACAUGCAAUGUGGGUCCCCGUGGGUCAUCGAAUCGAUCCAUGGGGCGGAGGCGGAGCAGCAGCGCCCCCCCAUGGACAGACACCGCCAUCAACAGCAGCGACCAGCAGCAGCCCCAUAGAGGAACCCACAGAUAGAAAGGAAGAGCAAUCGAGGCACCCAAAAAGCCAAGCCGGAUACAUUUGAAAUGGCUGCACCUAAAGGAAGGGGAGAGGGUUCAUUAGUGCCCAUUAAUUAGUUAAUUAGCGCUAAUUAAGAGCCGUUAAUUAGGCAAUCAAUGGACCCCCCCUUCCCCUCUGAAAUGAAUGAGGAGCAAUCUGAGGCCCCCCAACAAUGAAGGCCUGGAUACAUUGAAUGGCUGCACCUAAAGGAAGGGGAAGAGGGUUCAUUAGUGCCCGGUAAUUAUUAAUUAGCGCUAAUUAAGACCCAUUAAUUAGCAAUGAUUGGACCCCCCCCCCCUCUUCCAUUGAAAUGAAUGAGGAGCAAUCUGAGGCCCCAAACAAUGAAGCCUGGACACAUUGAAUGGCUGCACCUAAAGGAAGGGGAAGAGGGUUCAUUAGUGCCCGUAAUUUAGUUAAUUAGCGCUAAUUAAAAACCCAUUAAUUAGGCAAUCAAUGGGACCCCCCCCCCUUCUCCCAUUGAGAUGAAUGAAGUCUGAUGCCCCCCCCAAAGCAAAGGCCGGACACAAUUGAAUGGCUGCACCUAAAGGAAGGGGAGAGGGUUCAUUAAUACCCAGUAAUUAGUUAAUUAGUCCUAAUUAAGACCAUUAAUUAGGCAAUAUCAAUGGACCCCCCCCCCCCUUCCCCCAUUGAAAUGAAUGCAAUCUGAUGACCCCAAUAAUGAGGCCUGGAUGAGGCCCCCAACAAUGAAGCCUGGACCACAUUGAAUGGCUGCACCUAAAGGAAGGGGAGAGGGUUCAUUAGUGCCCAGUAAUUUAGUUAAUUAGCGCUAAUUAAGACCCAUUAAUUAGGCAAUCAAUGGACCCCCCCCCUCUUCCCAUUGAGAUGAAUGCAAUCUGAGGACCCCCAUAAUGGAGCCUGGAUGAGGCCCCCCAACAAUGAAGCCUGGGAUACAUUGAAUGGCUGCACCUAAAGGAAGGGGAGAGAUUCAUUAGUGCCGGUAAUUAGUUAAUUAGUCCUAAUUAAGACCCAUUAAUUAGCGAAUGAAUGGACCGCCCCCCCCCCUUCCCCCAUUGAGAUGAAUGAAGACUGAGGACCCCCCAUUGAAAUGAAUGAAGUCUGAUGCCCCCCCAAAAGCGAAGGCCGGACACAUUGAAUGGCUGCACCUAAAGGAAGGGGAGAGGGUUCAUUAGUGCCCGUAAUUAUUUAAUUAGCGCUAAUUAAGAGCCAUUAAUUAGGCAAUCAAUGGACCCCCCCCCCCUGCUCCCCCAUUGAGAUGAAUGAAGUCUGAGGACCCCCAUUGAAAUGACAUGAAGUCUGAUGCCCCCCCCAAAGCGAAGGUCGGACACAUUGAAUGGCUGCACCUAAAGGAAGGGGAAGGAUUAAUUAUACCCCAGUAAUUAGUUAAUUAGUCCUAAUUAAGACCCAUUAAUUAGGCAUUGAAUGGACCCCCCCCCCCUCUUCCCAUUGAAAUGAAUGAAGGAGCAAUCUGAGGCCCCCCCAACAAUUGAAGCCUGGACACAUUGAAUGGCUGCACCUUAAAGGAAGGGGAAAGGAUUCAUUAGUGCCGUAAUUAGUUAAUUAGCGCUAAUUAAGACCCAUUAAUUAAGGCAAUCAAUUGACCCCCCCCCCCCGUCCUCCCAUUGAAAUGAAGAAGUCUGAUGCCCCCCCAAAGCGAAGGCCGACACAUUGAAUGGCUGCACCUAAAGGAAGGGAGAGGGUUCAUUAGUGCCCAUUAAUUAGUUAAUUAGCGCUAAUUAAGACCCAUUAAUUAGGCAAUCAAUGCCCCCCCCCCCCCUCUCCAUUGAAAUAAAUGCAAUCUGAGACCCA